ACUAACCAAAGGACCAUGUGAAAAAAAACUCUCCACUGAGAGCUCUUUCGAGAUUCUAUAGGUGGUGGUGCAUGGCCGUUCUUAAUUGGUGGAGCGAUUUGUUUGGUUAAUUCCGUUAACGAACAAGACCUCAGCCUGCUAACUAGCUAUGCGGAGGUAUCCCUCCGCGGCCAGCUUCUUAGAGGGACUAGGCCUUUCAAGCCGCGGAAGUUUGAGGCGAUAACAGGUCUGUGAUGCCCUUAGAUGUUCUGG
rnacentral:ncRNA from 1 species